GUAGGUGGCAAGCGUUGUCCGGAUUUAUUGGGCGUAAAGCGAGCGCAGGCGGUUUUUUAAGUCUGAUGUGAAAGCCUUCGGCUCAACCGAAGAAGUGCAUCGGAAACUGGGAAACUUGAGUGCAGAAGAGGACAGUGGAACUCCAUGUGUAGCGGUGAAAUGCGUAGAUAUAUGGAAGAACACCAGUGGCGAAGGCGGCUGUCUGGUCUGUAACUGACGCUGAGGCUCGAAAGUAUGGGUAGCAAACAGGAUUAGAUACCCUGGUAGUCCAUACCGUAAACGAUGAAUGCUAAGUGUUGGAGGGUUUCCGCCCUUCAGUGCUGCAGCUAACGCAUUAAGCAUUCCGCCUGGGGAGUACGGCCGCAAGGCUGAAACUCAAAGGAAUUGACGGGGGCCCGCACAAGCGGUGGAGCAUGUGGUUUAAUUCGAAGCUACGCGAAGAACCUUACCAGGUCUUGACAUACUAUGCAAAUCUAAGAGAUUAGACGUUCCCUUCGGGGACAUGGAUACAGGUGGUGCAUGGUUGUCGUCAGCUCGUGUCGUGAGAUGUUGGGUUAAGUCCCGCAACGAGCGCAACCCUUAUUAUCAGUUGCCAGCAUUAAGUUGGGCACUCUGGUGAGACUGCCGGUGACAAACCGGAGGAAGGUGGGGAUGACGUCAAAUCAUCAUGCCCCUUAUGACCUGGGCUACACACGUGCUACAAUGGAUGGUACAACGAGUUGCGAACUCGCGAGAGUAAGCUAAUCUCUUAAAGCCAUUCUCAGUUCGGAUUGUAGGCUGCAACUCGCCUACAUGAAGUCGGAAUCGCUAGUAAUCGCGGAUCAGCAUGCCGCGGUGAAUACGUUCCCGGGCCUUGUACACACCGCCCGUCACACCAUGAGAGUUUGUAACACCCAAAGUCGGUGGGGUAACCUUUUAGGAACCAGCCGCCUAAGGUGGACAGAGAUGGA
rnacentral:rRNA from 1 species